rnacentral:rRNA from 1 species
UACGUAGGGGGCGAGCGUUGUCCGGAUUCAUUGGGCGUAAAGCGCGCGUAGGCGGCUCGACAAGUCGGCCGUGAAAUCUCCAGGCUCAACUUGGAGGGGUCGGGCGAGACUGUCGGGCUCGAGGUGGGCAGAGGCAGUGGAAUUCCGGGUGUAGUGGUGGAAUGCGUAGAGAUCCGGAGGAACACCAGUGGCGAAGGCGGCUGCCUGGGCCGUGGCCUGACGCUGAGGCGCGAAAGCGUGGGGAGCGGAAGUGGG